AUUGAACGCUGGCGGCAGGCCUAACACAUGCAAGUCGAGCGGAUGAAGGGAGCUUGCUCCUGGAUUCAGCGGCGGACGGGUGAGUAAUGCCUAGGAAUCUGCCUGGUAGUGGGGGAUAACGUCCGGAAACGGGCGCUAAUACCGCAUACGUCCUGAGGGAGAAAGUGGGGGAUCUUCGGACCUCACGCUAUCAGAUGAGCCUAGGUCGGAUUAGCUAGUUGGUGGGGUAAAGGCCUACCAAGGCGACGAUCCGUAACUGGUCUGAGAGGAUGAUCAGUCAAACUGGAACUGAGACACGGUCCAGACUCCUACGGGGGGCAGCAGUGGGGAAUAUUGGACAAUGGGCGAAAGCCUGAUCCAGCCAUGCCGCGUGUGUGAAGAAGGUCUUCGGAUUGUAAAGCACUUUAAGUUGGGAGAAAGGGCAGUAAGUUAAUACCUUGCUGUUUUGACGUUACCAACAGAAUAAGCACCGGCUAACUUCGUG
rnacentral:rRNA from 1 species